ACGGGAGGCAGCAGUAGGGAAUAUUGGACAAUGGGGGAAACCCUGAUCCAGCGACGCCGCGUGAGUGAAGAAAUAUUUCGGUAUGUAAAGCUCUAUCAGCAGGGAAGAAAAUGACGGUACCUGACUAAGAAGCACCGGCUAACUACGUGCCAGCAGCCGCGGUAAUACGUAGGUUGCAAGCGUUGUCCGGAUUUACUGGGUGUAAAGGGCGUGUAGGCGGAACUGCAAGUCAGAUGUGAAAUCCCGGGGCUCAACCCCGGAACUGCAUUUGAAACUGUAGUCCUUGAGUAUCGGAGAGGCAAGCGGAAUUCCUAGUGUAGCGGUGAAAUGCGUAGAUAUUAGGAGGAACACCAGUGGCGAAGGCGGCUUACUGGACGAUAACUGACGUUGAGGCUCGAAAGCGUGGGGAGCAAACAGGAUUAGAUACCCUGGUA
rnacentral:rRNA from 1 species